AUUUUUCAAUCAGCUAAAUAAUCGACUAUAUGUUUUUAAAAAUUGAUUAUAAUCAGAAUAAUCGAUUAUGGUUUUUAUACAAUCGAUUUUAUUCAGACCGUUCCCACAGAAUCUUAAAUUGAUUUUUGAACGUUGAAGAGCAAUCGAUUAUACAGGUUGUACAAUCGAUUGUUUCCCUUAAAAUCAGGAGUCUGUUUUUUGAACGGUCCUCAAACAAUCGAUUGUGUAGGUCAGACAAUCGAUUGUAUGAGCAAAAAUUCAGGGAUUUUAUUUGUCAAUUAAAGCAACGGUCAGCACCACUUUUUCACCUAUAAAAAGAUGUCUUUUGAGCUGAUUUUAAUCACACAACUCCUCCAUACAUUGUUAUACAUAUUGAACAUUUUCAAGCAUCAUUUUAGAGCUUUUGUUGAGCCAUUUGGUAGACAACUUUGUGUUGUUCA
rnacentral:lncRNA from 1 species